GAUGAACGCUUGCUACAGGCUUAACACAUGCAAGUCGAGGGGCAGCAUGAACUUAACUUGCUAAGUUUGAUGGCGACCGGCGCACGGGUGAGUAACACGUAUCCAACCUGCCGAUGACUCGGGGAUAGCCUUUCGAAAGAAAGAUUAAUACCCGAUGGCAUAGUUCUUCCGCAUGGGAGAACUAUUAAAGAAUUUCGGUCAUCGAUGGGGAUGCGUUCCAUUAGGUUGUUGGCGGGGUAACGGCCCACCAAGCCUUCGAUGGAUAGGGGUUCUGAGAGGAAGGUCCCCCACAUUGGAACUGAUACACGGUCCAAACUCCUACGGGAGGCAGCAGUGAGGAAUAUUGGUCAAUGGACGAGAGUCUGAACCAGCCAAGUAGCGUGAAGGAUGACUGCCCUAUGGGUUGUAAACUUCUUUUAUACGGGAAUAAAGUGAGGCACGUGUGCCUUUUUGUAUGUACCGUAUGAAUAAGGAUCGGCUAACUCCGUGCCAGCAGCCGCGGUAAUACGGAGGAUCCGAGCGUUAUCCGGAUUUAUUGGGUUUAAAGGGAGCGUAGGCGGACGCUUAAGUCAGUUGUGAAAGUUUGCGGCUCAGCCGUAAAAUUGCAGUUGAUACUGGGUGUCUUGAGUACAGUAGAGGCAGGCGGAAUUCGUGGUGUACCGGUGAAAUGCUUAGAUAUCACGAAGAACUCCGAUUGCGAAGGCAACCUGCUGGACUGUAACUGACGCUGAUGCUCGAAAGUGUGGGUAUCAAACAGGAUUAGAUACCCUGGUAGUCCACACAGUAAACGAUGAAUACUCGCUGUUUGCGAUAUACAGUAAGCGGCCAAGCGAAAGCGUUAAGUAUUCCAUCUGGGGAGUACGCCGGCAACGGUGAAACUCAAAGGAAUUGACGGGGGCCCCGCACAAGCGGAGGAACAUGUGGUUUAAUUAGAUGAUACGCGAGGAACCUUAUCCGGGCGUGAAUUGCAUAUUAAUGAUGUGGAGACAUGUCAGCGGCAAGGCAGUUGUGAAGGUGGUGCAUGGUUGUCGUCAGGUCGUGCCGUGAGGUGUCGGGUUAAGUGCCAUAACGAGCGCAACCCUUAUCCGAUAGUUACCAUCAGGUUAUGGUGGGGACUCUGUCGAGACUGCCGUCGUAAGAUGUGAGGAAGGUGGGGAUGAUGUCAAAUCAGCACGGCCCUUACGUCCGGGGCUACACACGUGUUACAAUGGGGGUACAGAAGGCAGGUACACGGGGACGUGAUGCUAAUCCCGAAAGCCUUUGUCAGUUCGGAUUGGAGUCUGCAACCCGACUCCAGGAAGCUGGAUUCGCUAGUAAUCGCGCAUCAGGCAGGGCGCGGUGAAUACGUUCCCGGGCCUUGUACACCCCGCCCGUCAAGCCAUGAAAGCCGGGGGUACCUGAAGUGCGUAACAGCAAGGAGCGCCCUAGGGUAAAACUGGUGAUUGGGGCUAAGU
rnacentral:rRNA from 1 species